AUGACACUCAUUCUACUCCCGAGUUAUCUUUAUUUGUUUCCAACUUUAAUAAUGGAGGAUCUUGAGAACAUAGAUGUGGUGAACAUGGUUGUGGUCGAGGACGUGGUAGAGGAUGUAGAGCCAACUUCUAUUGCACGCAUUGUAGGAAAGAAGGUCACACUGAACAUUGGUGCUUUGACUUACACGACUACCCAAACAAAAUCGCCAAUGUUGCCUAAAUCACUUCAAACUAUGAAUCAAAGGGUGAAGAAGAAACUACUUUCUCUGCAGAUGAUUAUAAGGAAUAUUUGCAAUUGA